UGGAGUGUAGCUCUGUGGUAGAGUACUUGCCUGGCACGCACAAGGCAAGGGGUUCAAUCCCCAGCACUGCAA
rnacentral:tRNA from 1 species